rnacentral:rRNA from 1 species
UACGUAGGGUGCAAGCGUUAAUCGGAAUUACUGGGCGUAAAGCGUGCGCAGGCGGUUUUGUAAGUCUGUCGUGAAAUCCCCGGGCUCAACCUGGGAAUUGCGAUGGAGACUGCAAGGCUAGAAUCUGGCAGAGGGGGGUAGAAUUCCACGUGUAGCAGUGAAAUGCGUAGAGAUGUGGAGGAACACCGAUGGCGAAGGCAGCCCCCCGGGGUCAAGAUUGACGCUCAUGCACGAAAGCGUGGGGAGCAAACAGG